GGAUGGCACUCCUGGAAGCGGUCCUCUUCUCCUCCCUCUGGGCUUUUGGCCUUGGGCAAUUAAAGUGGGAGCAACCUGAAAUAUCAGUUACUGGAGCAAGAGAUAAGAGUGCAGUGAUAUCUUGCAAGGUGUCCUCUGCAGACUUUAGCCAAGAAAACAUCUACUGGUACCGGCAUAAACCAGAUCAGAGUAUAGAACAUCUAGCAUACGUCGUAACAGGCCCUGCUCUAAAUCACUUAGGAGGGAAGAAAAACAAGAUUGAGGCCAGAAAAGACGUCCCCACUUCCACUUCUACCUUGAAAAUAAGUUUCUUAGAGAAAGAAGAUGAGGCCACGUACUACUGUGCCAGCUGGUCAGGUUGGAUCAAGAUAUUUGGAGAAGGAACUAAGCUUGUAGUAACUCUCCCUGAUAGAAGACUUGAUGUAGACAUGUCUCCCAAGCCCACUAUAUUUCUUCCUUCGAUUGAUGAAAUAAACCUCCAUGAGGCUGGAACACAUCUUUGCCUUCUCGAGAAUUUUUUCCCUGAUGUUAUUAAGGUCUAUUGGAAAGAAAAGAAUGGCAACAUAGUUCUGGAAUCCCAGCAGGGAAAUAUCAUCAAGACUAAUGAUACAUACAUGAAAUUCAGCUGGCUGACCGUGACUAAAAAGUCAAUGGAUAAUGAACACGUAUGUAUCGUCAAACACGAGAAUAAUAAAAGAGGAAUUGAUCAAGAGAUUCUUUUCCCUUCAAUUAACAAAGAGGUCACUACACAUGCCUGCGUGAAAAAAAGAAGUGAUUCCCUGCAGCUGCAGCUCAUGAACACCAGUGCCUACUACACCUACCUCCUUCUCCUCCUCAAGAGCUCGGUCUACUUUGUCAUCGUCGCCUGCUGUGUGUGUAGGAGAACAGCCGUCUGCGGCCACGGGAAGAGCUCGUGACAGAGGGGACCACAAAGGGGUCACCUUUCCUUCAUCAUCUCUUGUCUCUGAAAGUGUCUGCUGAGGAUCUAGCUGGGCUUCCUUUCUGGGUUUGGGUUAUGUCAGUUCACAUGCGUAUUCUUCUGUGUGCCAUUAUUGUGUAAGGGCUUUUCAAAGCACUGGGCAAGCAGACAGUUUGACUCCGUGACAGGGAAUUCUGCCAUCACUCGGGGGCAGGGCCCAGGGCUGGCCCAGGGGAGCCUCUCCCACCACUGUCCCCACAACCGCACCAGCUCCUCCUGCCCCCGAGUCCUUGUGCCUCCUGAGGGCGCACAGCGGGCAGCUCCCCUCUCCUCCCUCAGUGCCUCCACCCAGACCACGGCCCCCACCCUCCCUGCCACCCACCCUGGGGCCGCCAGCUUUGCCACUUGAA